AUCACCGUUGCUGCCUAGGAUGGCUCCUGGGGCUGCUGCCGAACUGGUUCGGAGACCGCCGUUAUUUCGGUUCAGCCGUUCCUUCGGUUCGAGUCGUUGUGGUUGCUGAGAAAACGGUUUGGAGCUGAGGUUUUGGUAGCCGGGAUUCUGAUUGUUGAUUUCGGGUCGAGACGGAAAGGACUCUUUGAUGCGUUUGGGCUAUGGUUUUGCGUUUUGAGGAUAUGGGCGCAGAAGUCACGAAGGCUUUAUUUAGUUGUUGUUGAGAU